rnacentral:rRNA from 1 species
GACGAACGCUAGCGGGAGGCCUAAUACAUGCAAGUCGAACGGUAACAGGCCGCAAGGUGCUGACGAGUGGCGAACGGGUGAGUAAUGCAUCGGAACGUGCCCAGUCGUGGGGGAUAACGCAGCGAAAGCUGCGCUAAUACCGCAUACGAUCUCUGGAUGAAAGCGGGGGACCGAAAGGCCUCGCGCGAUUGGAGCGGCCGAUGUCAGAUUAGGUAGUUGGUGGGGUAAAGGCCCACCAAGCCAACGAUCUGUAGCUGGUCUGAGAGGACGACCAGCCACACUGGGACUGAGACACGGCCCAGACUCCUACGGGAGGCAGCAGUGGGGAAUUUUGGACAAUGGGCGCAAGCCUGAUCCAGCAAUGCCGCGUGCAGGAAGAAGGCCUUCGGGUUGUAAACUGCUUUUGUACGGAACGAAACGGUCCGGGUUAAUACCCUGGGCUAAUGACGGUACCGUAAGAAUAAGCACUGGCUAACUACGUGCCAGCCGCCGCCGUAACAC